rfam:Ostreococcus lucimarinus CCE9901 chromosome 14, complete sequence.
AGCCGAUGAUGAGACACACUUGUCCGUACCAUCUGAUUUCGGUGACGAUCAAACUUGUGAAUCUCGUUAAGCUGAGGCUU